CCUUUGUACACACCGCCCGUCGCUACUACCGAUUGAAUGGCUUAGUGAGGUCUCCGGAUUGGCUUAGGGAGGUUGGCAACGACCACCUUGAGCCGGAAAGUUCGUCAAACUCGGUCAUUUAGAGG
rnacentral:rRNA from 1 species